UGAAUAGUAUCUUUGAUUAAAAUGGCCAC
rnacentral:sRNA from 1 species